rnacentral:rRNA from 1 species
UACGUAGGUGGCAAGCGUUAUCCGGAUUUACUGGGUGUAAAGGGCGAGUAGGUGGGAUUGCAAGUCAGAUGUGAAAACCCAGGGCCCAACCCUGGGACUGCAUUUGAAACUGCCAUACUGGAGUGCCGGAGAGGUAAGUGGAAUUCCUAGUGUAGCGGUGAAAUGCGUAGAUAUUAGGAGGAACACCAGUGGCGAAGGCGGCUUACUGGACGGUAACUGACGUUGAGGCUCGAAGGCGUGGGGAGCAAAAAGG